rnacentral:rRNA from 1 species
UACGUAGGGGGCAAGCGUUGUUCGGAAUUACUGGGCGUAAAGGGCGCGUAGGCGGCACGGCAAGUCGGGAGUGAAAGCCCGGGGCUCAACCCCGGAGGGUCUUCCGAAACUGCCGAGCUAGAGUGCGGAAGAGGCAAUCGGAAUUCCCAGUGUAGCGGUGAAAUGCGUAGAUAUUGGGAAGAACACCGGAGGCGAAGGCGGGUUGCUGGGCCGACACUGACGGCUGAGGAGCGAAAGCCAGGGGAGCAAACGGG